rnacentral:tRNA from 1 species
ACUGAGAAGACGUCCGUGCAAAUCGAACCAUUUUGAUACCCAACAGCUAGCUCUCUCUUCCAAACCAAACAACCC